UUUAGACCGUCGUGAGACAGGUUAGUUUUACCCUACUGAUGAAGGUCGCCGCAACGGUAAUUCAAUUUAGUACGAGAGGAACCGUUGAUUCAGAUAAUUGGUUUUUGCGGCUGUCUGACCAGGCAGUGCCGCGACGCUACCAUCUGCCGGAUAAUGGCUGAACGCCUCUAAGUCAGAAUCCGUGCCGGAACGCGGCGAUGUAGCCCCGCACGUCGUAGUUGGAUACGAAUAGGCCUCCGGGCCAUGCACCUCAGCAGGCUGGCGACGGCUCCCGGGGAGAAACCCCCGGGGGCUGGCUGGCGGAUUGCAAUGUCACCUCGCGCGGGGAUGAAUCCUCUGCAGACGACUGAAGUGACCAAGCGGGUCGUGUAAGCGGUCAAGUAGCCUUGUUGCUACGAGUCGCUGAGCGUCAGCCCGAUCCUUGGCUAGAUUUGUUGGCAAACACCUC
rnacentral:rRNA from 1 species